rnacentral:sRNA from 1 species
GCUAGGCAUGGUGGGUCACGCCUGUAAUCCCAGCGACUUGGGAGGCUAAGGGAGGAGGAUUGCAAGUUCAAAGCCAGCCUCAUUAGAGACAGGGUCUCUAUGAGUUGCUUAGAGCCUGGCUCAGUUGCUAAGGCCUGCUGAAGGUCCUAAGCAGCUCACAGAGAUGGUGUCUUUAAUGAGGCUUGCUUUGAACUCAUGAUCCUCCUGCCU